rnacentral:tRNA from 1 species
CGCGGGGUGGAGAAGUCCGGCAUCUCGUCUGGCUCAUAACCAGAAAAUCGUGGGUUCAAAUCCCACCCCCGCAACCA